rnacentral:tRNA from 1 species
GGGCCUAUAGCUCAGCUGGUUAGAGCGCACGCCUGAUAAGCGUGAGGUCGAUGGUUCGAUUCGAUUUAGGUCCA